rnacentral:tRNA from 1 species
GCGGGCGUAGCUCAGUGGUAGAGCGUCACCUUGCCAAGGUGAAAGUCGUGGGUUCGAAUCCCAUCGCCCGCU